GAUAUUUAAGGUCGGAAAGGCUCCCGACACUCCUGAAUAGGAACCUGAGAUGAUGGAUACGCCGCCCAUCUAAAUAUU
ncrna:unclassified sequences skipping-rope RNA